rnacentral:rRNA from 1 species
CCUACGGGUGGCUGCAGUAGGGAAUCUUCGGCAAUGGGGGGAACCCUGACCGAGCAACGCCGCGUGAAGGAAGAAGGAAUUCGUUCUGUAAACUUCUGUUAUAAAGGAAGAAAGACGGAUGGAGGAAAUGACAUCCGAGUGACGGUACUUUAUGAGAAAGCCACGGCUAACUACGUGCCAGCAGCGGCGGUAAUACGUAGGUGGCAUGCGUUAUUCGGAAUUAUUUGGCGUAAAGAGGGGGCAGGGGGGAGCAAAGGUCUGUGGUGAAAGACUGAAGCUUAACUGCAGAAAGCCAUAGAAACCGGGCAGCUAGAGUACAGGAGAGGAUCGGGGAAUUCCAUGUGUAGCGGUGAAAUGCGUAGAUAUAUGGAGGAACACCAGUGGCGAAGGCGACGAUCUAGCCUGCAACUGACGCUCAGUCCCGAAAGCGUGGGGAGCAAAUAGGAUUAGAUACCCGUGUAGUC